UGGUGAUUCCUCAAAGAUCCUCACUAAGAACAUUUCCUUGGACUUACUUUAAUGUGGGUAAUGCAUUUUCCUCAGGAUUUUACCCAGGAUGCUGGCUUGCCCUCGCAGCCCAUGUUGUUUGUGGUGAAAAGUGUGUGUGUGUGUGUGUGUGUGUGUAUCUCCCCAAGUAGUCUUUUUUUUUUUUUUUCCAAGUAGUAGUCUUAUCUGUCUCCACGAAGCACUCCCUGACACACUGGGAGCAUAUUUGCCAAUGAAACAAGAACCAUCCAAUGCUUCAUCUCAUAGACUAUCUUAGCAUGAGUCAAAUGCCUGUCCACCAUGAAUCUUUAAUUGUGGGGACACACAGUCAGCUCUAGAAGUGGUUCUGUUGAAACCACUCAUACUAGCUUGAAGGUAAAGGAACUCACAGUUCAGUCAAGCAGCUCUGUCAAGAGAUAUCUAUUGCACAAACUAAUUUAUUAAUCAGACUGCUUUUACAUGCUCAAUGUAAGUAAGAUGUACCAGGAAUAGUUUCCAGUUAUCUCUUUUUAAAAUUUUCAUCUUCUCCAUGUUGGUAUACCAUAUAUAUUAUAUAUUUAUGGUUUAGUCAAAAAUUCUAAUUUAACUUCCUGCUACAUAAUAAUUUCAGAAGCCUUUGGAGUGUCUAUAAAUGGACACUAUCUAUUAAGAUCAUUCAUUCAUCGUGUUUAUAAAAAUUCAAAUUCCUGGCCUCAUUCCAGACUUGCUAAUAUAGAAUCUCUGCUGAUAAUGCAACAUUUAUAUUUUAGCAAGCUCUUCCUAAAUGAUUAUUUGCCAUAUUAACAUUUGAAAAAGUGCAAAAAAUAUUGAGCAUUUUUACAAAUUAAUGGUUAAUACAAAUGUGGUCACAAACCAAAGACUUUAUAUUACUUUAAUUUCUAAAUAGAAAUUUAUUGGUGUAACAAUUAAUAUGAAAACUUUACAUGAACACAUGAAUCUCAAAAUGUGUAUUUUCAAAAAUUACAUAAUCUCUGAAAAUGAAAUUAUUGGUUAACUUUAAAGAUAGUUCAAAAUCUUCAUUGCUUAGAUACCAAUAAAUUAAGAUUAAAAAUAACAGAAACCUUAUGGACAGAGACAGUAAGACCCUAUGAUAUUAGGACUAGAGAAGGGGGAUUUCAGCCUUGAAUUUUAACUACAAUAGUAAAGGUCAGUAAAUUUAAAAUGCAGAAAUAUUUAAUUUGGGUGAAUGUUCAAAAUAAGUAUAUUUUAAUCAUCAUAGUUUCACUUCUAUAAGAUUUUUGUUUUAAUUUACCCCUACAUUAAAUUAAAUUUCUGAUAAAAAUGAUAAUAUAAUUUUCCAAUUUCUUAAUCCUAAUAUAUCCAUAUCUUCAAUUAUUUUAGAAUAUAAAGUAUUGCUCCACAAAAGUGGCACAGAAAUUAAAUUUUGUUAUAACUCCCAUAAAUAAUGGAGCUUUAGUAUGACUUUUUAUUCUGUAAAACCCAGUUAUUAGUUGAAGUUACAGUGGUCUUCAGUUAAGUGAUGAAAUGUCACAUCUCAAGGAAAUUAUAUUUUGUCAUAGGAAGCUAAGAAAUGACACUAGGAAGGGCUUUUCAAUAAAAAGUAUCAUCAGGUUAUAGAAUUUUCAUUGCUUUCUUAAAAAAAAUACAAAAUUCAUCUAAUUAAUUCAAGCAUUGAGUCAGUUAUGGGACUUUUCUUCUAAGAAAGCUUCAAAUACUGUUUUAUAAUUUUGGUUUGUAUGAAUCUCUUACAUAUAGCCUUCCAACAUUAAUCCCAGUUCUGCAGUCCUAAAAUACCUAGGGAACUGAUCUCUGAGCUUUCAACCUAAGCCAGUGAAAAUAUCCAUUAAUUAAAUCAUCACACAAGGAACAUUAUGACUGAUGUGGUGAUAGAGAAGUUUAGGGGAUCCCUGGGUGGCUCAGCGGUUUGGCUCCUGCUUUUGGCCCAGGGUGCGAUCCUGGAGUUGCCGGAUCAAGUCUCACAUCGGGCUCCUGGCAUGGAGCCUGCUUAUUCCUCUGCCUGUUGUCUCUGACUCUCUCUCUCUCUCUCUCUCUCUCUCUCUCUAUCAUAAGUAAAUUUUAAAAAAGAGAAGUUUGGCAUGCUAUAGUAAUAAAUAUCAGAAAGAUCCAAACUUGUUUAGAAAUUAAGGCAACUUUCCUAAUGAGGUAUGAUUUAAGCAAAGACCUGAAGGCUAAACAAAGUGAUAAUGGGAAGAGCUAUUUAGAGCAUGUAGAGAGGUGCAGAGGCUAAGAACAUGGCAGCUUACAAAUACUUUCAGAAUUGAAAUUAAAACAUAGUAUGUAAAAAACACAGAAAUAAGAGAAACUGGAAAGAUAAUGGACCAAAAUAUGGAAACUAUACAUAUUAUUAGUUUGCCAGGGCUGCCAUAACAAAGUACACUGGUUGACUUAAAAGAAAUUGACUUAAAAGAAAUUGAUUUUUUCACAGUUCUGGAGGCUAGAAGUCCAAGGUCAAGGUGUGGACAGAGUUGGUUUCUUCUGAAGCCUCUCUCUGGCUUGCAGAUGGCCACCUUCUUGCUUGUCCUCACAUGGUCUUCUCUGUGUGUGUGUACGUGGCUGCCUCUGUGUUCUAAUUCCUUUUAUAAAGACUUAUAGUCACAAAGCCUUAGUUAUAAAGACUACAGUAAUAUUGGACUAGGGCCCACCCUAAUGACUUCAUUUUAAUCUGAUCACCUUUUUAAAGUCCCUACUCCAAAUACAGUCACAUCUGGGGUAGGAGGAGUCAGGACUUGAACAUAUGAAUUUUGUGGGGACAUAAUUCAACCCAUAACACCAAAUGUAGAUGUUUGCACUGUAACAAAUGGAAAAUGGGCAGCACUGAAGGUUUUUAAGUCAAUAGAAUGGUGGAUAUAGUUUCUCUUUGAAAGUUAUUUCAACAUGCCCUAUGAAUAACACUUUGAAAGAAAUUAGAUUUGUGGCUUGUUAGCAAUUGCCCAGGGGAAAGACAGUAGGGCUAGCGAGGUGACCUAGGAAUGGCAAGAUGGGAGCAGAUUACCAAGAGUUAGGUGGUAAAUAAUAUUUAAUUGUGGUUUGUAUAAUCAAAGGAGAGAAAAUUGAAGAUUAGAGAAAUUAUUUCAUAUUUAAAUGCUGGUAACAGGAAACUAGUAGAAAAGAAAAAAUUGAAAAUAAAAGACAAGGUAAAGACUUUCAAAAGCAUUACAUUGAUAAAGCAAGAUCUAGGUUCAGCUAUGAAGUCAACAAUCUCCCCUGUUAGGAGCAAAGGCCUGUCCUGCAGGAAAGAGCGUUGCCUCAUAUUUUCACUAUGUAAUGGGGAAAACUGAUUAGAUGGAAAAAUCAACUCCAUUGUCUAGAUAACAAUGAUUAUUGGAUCCUAAAUCCAGGAACUAAUCCCAAAGCAAACAGGUAGGAAUCAAAAAAGGAGAUUGUAGUUUUUCAAAUGGCACUUAAUAUGGUUCCACAGUCCAUUAUGUUUUCUGAGGCUGAAUAAAAGGAGGCAUAAACAA
rnacentral:lncRNA from 1 species